rnacentral:rRNA from 1 species
ACGUAGGUGGCAAGCGUUGUCCGGAUUUACUGGGCGUAAAGAGCGCGCAGGCGGUCGGAUAAGUCGCGUGUGAAGGCCCCCGGCUCAACUGGGGAGGGUCACGCGAUACUGUUCGACUCGAAGGCAGGAGAGGGUAGUGGAAUUCCCGGUGUAGUGGUGAAAUGCGUAGAUAUCGGGAGGAACACCAGUGGCGAAGGCGACUACCUGGCCUGUUCUUGACGCUGAGGCGCGAAAGCUAGGGGAGCAAACGGGAUUAGAUACCCCGGUAGUCCUAGCCGUAAACGAUGGACACUAGGUGUUGGUGGUAUCAACCCCGCCAGUGCCGAAGCUAACGCAUUAAGUGUCCCGCCUGGGGAGUACGGCCGCAAGGCUA